rnacentral:lncRNA from 1 species
GCUACUCACCCCAAAACACUGAAGAUAGGGCAGCAGACAUUUUAAAGUUGUUUUGUGACUGUUUUUCAUGUUAAUUUAGGGCACAAUUAUGGUUGCAAAGGUAGUUAAGUGUUCGCAAAAAGUGUUUUGGGGUGGGAUUUGCUGGUAGGUAGCCAGUACCAAUCUGUGAGGGGUAGAAUGAGGGGGCGGGAAGGUUAGUUUGAAGAGGGCAGGCUUUCCACGAUGACAGCACUUUCCCUAUCAUAAUUUCACCCUACCAAAAACCCUUCAAAAUCCAGUGGACAUACAUAAGAAUUGCCGUAGAAGUCAGUUGGAACAAAACAGCGCGCAUUGACGCAACGAAAAUCCAAAGUCGGAAGAAAAUAAGAGCGCGAAGAAACGUUGUUUUCUGGGUUUUGGGCCAUAGUUUGAUAUGGCUGCCACUCUCCAGAAACUUGCAGUAUCCGUGUCGGGCAUAUGGAUCUGCCUCCUGCUCCUCAACCCCUUUCCACAAACUGGGUAGGAUGACUCAUAGUUCACUCCCUUCUCUCCCCUAGCUCUCUUCCAUUUCCAGCCACUCGCUCUUCUCCACCUCUUCCUCCCUCCCGUCCUCUUCUGUCCCCCAUUUUGAAGCUCUGGGGAUGUGUUGCAGCUAAUACAUUCAUUAAUAUGGCCCUUGUACUGUAGCCAGGCUUUAUGAUCCGCAGAAUACCAUUUGGAGGCAGACGUGGCCCAGUGUAAGUAGCUAUUGGAUUUCUAGUGGCAAAGCGAGGCUCAAUAAACCUGGAGGAAGGGAAGGGAGGCUGGCCUGCCGACAGAGCAGAGGGGAGACCCGAGGGAAGGCUAGCUUGCCGACAGAGCAGAGGGGAGACCCGAGAGAAAGCUGAUCUGCUGACAGAGAAAGGGGAGACCCGAGAGAAGGCUGGUCUGCCGACAGAGCAGAGGGGAGACCCGAGAGAAAGCUUAUCUGCCGACAGAGCAGAGGGGAGACCCGAGAGAAGGCUGGUCGCUGCCGAAGAGAAAGGGGAGACCCGAGAGAAAGCUUAUCUCUGCCACAGA